ACAAGGAUAGUAUAGAUAUUUAUUAUAAGUAAAGAGGUAAAAUGAGUUUUACAGUAUGCAUCACACAAAAAAUUUCUGAAGAGUCAUUAGGCUUCUCUGCAUCUCCCUAAAAUCUCCUCCUACAUGUGUCUCCCCUCUCUACUCCAAUGUAGUCCCCUCACUGUUUUGCCGACAUAGCUUUGGCCCUUUGCCUACACUGCAUCUUCAUUUUCUACCCUCCCCAAGUGGGCCUGCUCUGCCUGGCUCCCUGGAAAGGGAUAUGUGGUCUUUGGCUCUGCCUUUUUCCCUGUGAGAAUUCACAUGCUUUCUUCCCCAGAAAUUCUGCUGAAUAACAUUCCCAUUGCUAUCAUACAACUAACUGACCCACUGACUCAUCCACAGAGUACAGCACCACAGGAAUCUGACAGACAAAAAUAGCCAUGUCCUU
rnacentral:lncRNA from 1 species